GUGGAUUAGAUACCCUGGUAGUCCCCGCCCUAAACGAUGGAUACUCGACAUACGCGAUACACUGUGUGUGUCUGAGCGAAAGCAUUAAGUAUCCCACCUGGGAAGUACGACCGCAAGGUUGAAACUCAAAGGAAUUGGCGGGGGUCCGCACAAGCGGGGGAGCAUGUGGUUUAAUUCGAUGAUACGCGAGGAACCUUACCUGGGCUAGAAUGUUAGUUGACCGUGGGUGAAAGCUCAUUUUGUAGCAAUACACAACUAAUAAGG
rnacentral:rRNA from 1 species